rnacentral:rRNA from 1 species
GACGAACGUUGGCGGCGUGCUUAACACAUGCAAGUCGAACGGAAAGGCCCUGCUUUUGUGGGGUGCUCGAGUGGCGAACGGGUGAGUAACACGUGAGUAACCUGCCCUUGACUUUGGGAUAACUUCAGGAAACUGGGGCUAAUACCGGAUAGGAGCUCCUGCUGCAUGGUGGGGGUUGGAAAGUUUCGGCGGUUGGGGAUGGACUCGCGGCUUAUCAGCUUGUUGGUGGGGUAGUGGCUUACCAAGGCUUUGACGGGUAGCCGGCCUGAGAGGGUGACCGGCCACAUUGGGACUGAGAUACGGCCCAGACUCCUACGGGAGGCAGCAGUGGGGAAUAUUGCACAAUGGGCGGAAGCCUGAUGCAGCAACGCCGCGUGCGGAAUGACGGCCCUCGGGUUGUAAACCGCUUUCGCCUGUGACGAAGCGUGAGUGACGGUAAUGGGUAAAGAAGCACCGGCUAACUACGUGCCAGCAGCCGCGGUGAUACGUAGGGUGCGAGCGUUGUCCGGAUUUAUUGGGCGUAAAGGGCUCGUAGGUGGUUGAUCGCGUCGGAAGUGUAAUCUUGGGGCUUAACCCUGAGCGUGCUUUCGAUACGGGUUGACUUGAGGAAGGUAGGGGAGAAUGGAAUUCCUGGUGGAGCGGUGGAAUGCGCAGAUAUCAGGAGGAACACCAGUGGCGAAGGCGGUUCUCUGGGCCUUUCCUGACGCUGAGGAGCGAAAGCGUGGGGAGCGAACAGGCUUAGAUACCCUGGUAGUCCACGCUGUAAACGGUGGGUACUAGGUGUGGGGUCCAUUCCACGGGUUCCGUGCCGUAGCUAACGCUUUAAGUACCCCGCCUGGGGAGUACGGCCGCAAGGCUAAAACUCAAAGGAAUUGACGGGGCCCCGCACAAGCGGCGGAGCAUGCGGAUUAAUUCGAUGCAACGCGUAGAACCUUACCUGGGUUUGACAUGGAUCGGGAGUGCUCAGAGAUGGGUGUGCCUCUUUUGGGGUCGGUUCACAGGUGGUGCAUGGCUGUCGUCAGCUCGUGUCGUGAGAUGUUGGGUUAAGUCCCGCAACGAGCGCAACCCUUGUUCACUGUUGCCAGCACGUUAUGGUGGGGACUCAGUGGAGACCGCCGGGGUCAACUCGGAGGAAGGUGGGGAUGGCGUCAAGUCAUCAUGCCCCUUAUGUCCAGGGCUUCACGCAUGCUACAAUGGCUGGUACAGAGAGUGGCGAGCCUGUGAGGGUGAGCGAAUCUCGGAAAGCCGGUCUCAGUUCGGAUUGGGGUCUGCAACUCGACCUCAUGAAGUCGGAGUCGCUAGUAAUCGCAGAUCAGCAACGCUGCGGUGAAUACGUUCCCGGG